rnacentral:siRNA from 1 species
UCUCUCUUUUAGGGUUGCAUGCCU